AUUGAACGCUGGCGGCAUGCCUUACACAUGCAAGUCGAACGGCAGCGGGCCUUCGGGUGCCGGCGAGUGGCGAACGGGUGAGUAAUGCAUCGGAACGUGCCAUUGAGUGGGGGAUAACGUAGCGAAAGUUGCGCUAAUACCGCAUAUUCUGUGAGCAGGAAAGCAGGGGACCGCAAGGCCUUGCGCUCUUUGAGCGGCCGAUGUCAGAUUAGCUAGUUGGUGAGGUAAAGGCUUACCAAGGCGACGAUCUGUAGCGGGUCUGAGAGGAUGAUCCGCCACACUGGAACUGAGACACGGUCCAGACUCCUACGGGAGGCAGCAGUGGGGAAUUUUGGACAAUGGGGGCAACCCUGAUCCAGCCAUGCCGCGUGAGUGAAGAAGGCCUCGGUUGUAAG
rnacentral:rRNA from 1 species